UACGUAGGGUGCAAGCGUUAUCCGGAUUUAUUGGGCGUAAAGAGUUCCGUCGGCGACUCUGUAAGUCACUUGUCCAAGCCUGAGGCUCAACUUCAGACAGGCAAGUGAAACUACAGAGAUUGAGUCUGUUCGGGGAAGCUAGAAUUCUCGGUGGAGGGGUGAAAUCCGUAGAUAUCGAGAGGAAUACCAGUCGCGAAGGCGGGCUUCUAGAACAGUACUGACGCUCAGGGACGAAAGCUUGGGGAGCAAAAGGG
rnacentral:misc_RNA from 1 species